rnacentral:rRNA from 1 species
GCCUCAGUAACGGCGAGUGAAGCGGCAACAGCUCAAAUUUGAAAUCUGGCCCUUUCAGGGUCCGAGUUGUAAUUUGCAGAGGGUGCUUUGGCGUCGGCCGUGGUCUAAGUUCCUUGGAACAGGACGUCACAGAGGGUGAGAAUCCCGUACGUGGCCGCCGGUCUUCGCCGUGUAAAGCCCCUUCGACGAGUCGAGUUGUUUGGGAAUGCAGCUCUAAAUGGGAGAUACAUUUCUUCUAAAGCUAAAUAUUGGCCAGAGACCGAUAGCGCACAAGUAGAGUGAUCGAAAGAUGAAAAGCACUUUGGAAAGAGAGUCAAAAAGCACGUGAAAUUGUUGAAAGGGAAGCGCUUGCAGCCAGACGUGCCCGCAGUUGCUCACCCAGGCUCUUGCCUGGGGCACUCUUCUGCGGGCAGGCCAGCAUCAGUUCGGGCGGUUGGAUAAAGGUCUCUAUCACGUACCACCCUUCGGGGUGUCCUUAUAGGGGAGACGCAACACGGCCAGCCUGAACUGAGGACCGCGCAUCAGCUAGGAUGCUGGCGUAAUGGCUGUAAGCGGCCCGUCUUGAAACACGGACCAAGGAGUCUAACAUCUAUGCGAGUGUUUGGGUGUAAAGCCCGGGCGCGCAAUGAAAGUGAACGGAGGUGGGAACCCUUUGGGUGCACCAUCGACCGAUCCUGAAGUCUUCGGAUGGAUUUGAGUAAGAGCAUAGCUGUUGGGACCCGAAAGAUGGUGAACUAUGCCUGAAUAGGGUGAAGCCAGGGGAAACCCUGGUGGAGGCUCGCAGCGGUUCUGACGUGCAAAUCGAUCGUCAAAUUUGGGCAUAGGGGCGAAAGACUAAUCGAACCAUCUAGUAGCUGGUUCC